CCCCCAACACUCCCUCUCCAAGCACAGGAUCCAGCCACGUGGGACUCCGACCCCUCCCCGACCCCUCCCCGGGCUGGGAAUGCUCUUCCCCUCACCUCCCUUAUCUGUGUCCUCCAGAGCUCAGUUUAGAGACCUCCAGGUAUUAAAGGGACUUCUACACUCAGAUUACUUGCUCAACAUCCAAGUAUUUUUUUUUUUUUUUUUUUUUUUUGAGACGGAGUCUCGCUCUGUCGCCCAGGCUGGAGUGCAGUGGCCGGAUCUCAGCUCACUGCAAGCUCUGCCUCCCGGGUUUUUACGCCAUUCUCCUGCCUCAGCCUCCCGAGUAGCCGGGACUACAGGCGCCCGCCACCUCGCCCGGCUAGUUUUUUGUAUUUUUUAGUAGAGACGGGGUUUCACCGUGUUAGCCAGGAUGGUCUCGAACUCCUGACCUCGUGAUCCGCCCGUCUCGGCCUCCCAAAGUGCUGGGAUUACAGGCUUGAGCCACCGCGCCCGGCCAACAUCCAAGUAUUAAUAUUAAUGGCUGGCAUCUGAUUCUAAGCCUCGUAAGAACGGGAACUGAGUCCGACCCAUUUGCUGCUGUGCCGGCAGUUCUCAGCACAUGCCUGGCACAUAGUAGGUACGCAAUAAAUAUUUGUUAAAUGAAUGAAUAGUCCUCUCAGGAAAGAGAUAUUUUAGGCCAUUUGAAUUUUUCUCUGAUGAUCUUGUAUUUCCCAGUUUUUCCUCCAAUGAUCAUGUAUUCUUUGUGCAGUUUUUAAAAGGAAGAAUUUUAUUUAUUUAUUUUUUCCAACAGCUUCCCUGAAUCUUGUGCCGAGCCAGUCUUGGUUGCAUGCACUCAAUAGAAACGAGCUCUCUUUCCCUCCCCAGAGCAGGGUGGCGAGGUGCAGGUGCACUGUACUGGGGUGGCACUAAGACCCUUGCACAGCACUGCUGGCAGCCAGCAAUCUCUCAGAACUGGCAGAUGUGCUCAGUCAGAUUAGUUUCCUCCUCCCCUCCCCGCUUUUCAAACCUUUCAGAGCUCUGCUACCCGGCCCAAGAGGAUUAUCCUCCAAUGGAAGGCACCAAGGAUUACUGCGGAAUCUGAUUUCACCUGCUCCCUCUGCUUCCUGGGGACGCACCACACGGCAGGCCACAGCCAGGCAGAGCUGGGUCUGAAUCCUCAGGAGUUUGCUCUGGACCCACAAGCACUAAACUCCGCAGGCUGUUUAUUUGCUUAUGAUGUAGGACCACGUCCCACGUGAAGACAAAAUGGUGCUGCAGAACGGAAAGUGCUUCACAAGCCCCCAGUACACAGAAUGGGCUGUGCUUCCAGCUGGCCACGCACUGGCUCCUGGCAGGAACCUUCUAGGUAGGUUCUUUACGAUCCUCAGAGGCUCAGAGAAGAAGCUGAUGGGAGAACUCAGCUUUUACACCCAGAAGCAGACUUCAGAGCCCCUGCUUUAACCGCUGGCCAGGCCAAGCCCAGGUGAGCGACUAUCCCGUAGCACAACACAUUUUGCAGCCAGAAAAGAUUUUAUGAGUUUCCUGAUGCUGCACGUGCCUGGCAGACAUUUCCUCCCCUCCUCCCAGGACUGUGAGUGGGGCUGGCUCGUUGUCCCCAGCGCUGCCACCGCCAAGCACUGUUACUCAGCUGCUUUCUCCUUAUCAACAAACUGCACAGGCAACAGAUGCCUAGAAGACUUUACGCGAGUCCCCUGGGAGAGGCUGGGAACAGAAUUCUGAGUCUUUCUAAGCCAGACAAUAGCCACAGAUUCUCCGACUCCUUUGAUGCACUUUUGAUUUUGAAAUUUUUCAAAUCAGAGAAAAGACGAAAGAGAACAAUGAACACAUAAAACCCUUCACCAGACUCUGCCCUUGCUGACCCUGAUCCGUGUGUGCUCUGUCUAGGUGUAUUCUGUCUGUAAAUACUGGUUUUGUUGGACCAUUUCUAGUCAAGUUGCAGACAUGACAUGCCACCCCCGAACACUUCAGCAUCUGUUCCUGAGGUCAUUUUCCUACAAAUCGUAAUGCUUAUUAGCAUUUCUAAGACAUGAACAUUAAUGUAAUCACAUUUUCUAACAUUCAGUCCACAUCUGACUUUCUCCAGGGGUCCUAAAAAUGCCUUUUAUAACCUUUGUUUUGUGUUUUUGGAUCCAGAAUCCAAACUAGGUUCACACACGGAGUCUAUUAUCGCUGAAGUCCCCUUGUUUCGUUUGUUUUCCAUGACACUGACUCUGGGAGAAUCUAGGCCAGUUGUCUUGUAAAAUGCUCCACAUUCUGGAUCUGUCUGAUUGUUUCCUCACAAUUAGAUGCAAGUCAAACAGUACAGGCAAGAAAAUGACAGAGAGUAUUCUGUCCUCACCCACUGGACCACAGCAGGAGUCCUAGGCAACGUCACUGUGUACCAGCCUACGGUAGAUCACUUGAUUAAGGUGGUGACACAAGACUGCUCCAGUUCAAGGAACAAAUGUUACUUUCCUGCUGAUAAAAAAACACCUUAAACUCCUCAGAAGGCAAGACCCUGCUGCUGGGAAUCUAGAAGCCAGAGCUAGCAGAAUAACUGCCAGAGAACGUUCCAGAACGUAGGUCUGCUCCAGUCCAAGAAUAUCUCAGCAUGAACCUGUUGUACAAGAACCUACAAGUCGGGAGGCGUCAGACUUCCCUAGAAAAGUCCCAGAAACCUCACCAUGUCGGUGACAAAGAAGAGACUUUUCCUGUCUAGACACCUCAAUGCUUGUAAUUAAAAUUAAGAUUUCAGAGGUG